rnacentral:rRNA from 1 species
GGUUAAGCGACUAAGCGUACACGGUGGAUGCCCUGGCAGUCAGAGGCGAUGAAGGGCGUGCUAAUCUGCGAUAAGCGCCGGUAAGGUGAUAUGAACCGUUAUAACCGGCGAUACCCGAAUGGGGAAACCCAGUGUGACUCGUCACACUAUCAUUAACUGAAUCCAUAGGUUAAUGAGGCGAA